CCUACGGGGGGCAGCAGUGGGGAAUAUUGGUCAAUGGAGGAAACUCUGACCCAGCAAUGCCGCGUGAAUGAAGAAGGUCUUCGGAUUUUUAAGUUCUUUAGUUAGGGAAGUAGUCAAUGACGGUACCUGAAGAAUAAGCUCCGGCUAACUACGUGCCAGCAGCCGCGGUAAUACGUAGGGAGCAAGCGUUGUUCGGAAUGACUGGGCGUAAAGGGUGCGUAGGCGGUUGUACAAGUUAGAAGUGAAAUACCCAGGGCUUAACUCGGGUGCUGCUUCUAAAACUGUAUGACUUGAGUGCAGGAGAGGUUAGUGGAAUUCCUAGUGUAGCGGUGGAAUGCGUAGAUAUUAGGAAGAACACCAGAGGCGAAGGCGGCUAACUGGACUGCAACUGACGCUGAGGCACGAAAGUGUGGGGAGCAAACAGGAUUAGAUACCCUUGUAGUC
rnacentral:rRNA from 1 species